GACGAACGCUGGCGGCGUGCUUAACACAUGCAAGUCGAACGAUGAAGCCGGAGCUUGCUCUGGUGAAUUAGUGGCGAACGGGUGAGUAACACGUGAGUAACCUGCCCUUGACUCUGGGAUAACUGCGGGAAACUGUAGCUAAUACCGGAUACGACCCUCGGAGGCAUCUCCUGGGGGUGGAAAGAAUUUCGGUCAAGGAUGGACUCGCGGCCUAUCAGCUAGUUGGUGAGGUAAAGGCUCACCAAGGCGACGACGGGUAGCCGGCCUGAGAGGGUAAGCGGACACACUGGCACGGGGGCACGGCCGAGAAUCCGACGGGAGGCAGCAGUGGGGAAUAUUGCACAAUGGGAGCAAGCCUGAUGCAGCAACGCCGCGUGAGGGAUGACGGCCUUCGGGUUGCAAACCUCUUUUAGCCGGGAAGAAGCGAAAGUGACGGUACCUGCAGAAAAAGCACCGGCUAACUACGUGCCAGCCGCCGCCGUAA
rnacentral:rRNA from 1 species